UCAACAUACUUCAACUGCGGAAAUGCUUACCCUUGAAGAUAAGGAAAACAACCACUCACUUCAUCAGGAAGACAUAUACAAAAUUUCUAUAAAAGCCUUGAACUUUUUGUAGCAGCUUCCUGCAAGCCACAAAUGACAGUUCUACAAUGUAAGGAGAGCAACUGAGAUCUUUCAGCCUUGUUUUGUCGAUAGAUUCCUUUCUGCUCUGUUAACAACCCACUCAAGCCCUCUGACAUGGGGCUAAAAGCCAGGGACAUCACUAUCGGUUAUCAUGGCUGCUUCAGGCACUGUGCCACGUACUGAAGAUACAAAGUCAAAAAUGAAACAGUCCCGGACAUCAAGGAGCAAGUGGAAACAACAUCAUGGAUAAAGGGACAAAGACCGCCUUUUGAAGUCCCUUUUGUGUUUAUUCAAAGCAGCACAUAUUCAGAGCAGAGAGAACUAAGCAUGCGGCGACAUGAGAUUUUUGUGCUGAUUCCCCUGUGGAGGAAACAAGGAAAAGAGAAGCAUAGAGUUCCGAAUUCAUGUACUGUUUCCAUUUCUCAUGAGAUGGUGACCAAUUUUUGUUUCAUUGUGCAACUGAUUGAGUAAUUCUGAAAAACAAAGACACUGGCAAGUUCCAUUGACCUCUAGAAUAAAGGCAUUGCAUUUUGCGGAAAAUCAACUUUGAAAGUUAAACUUUUCAUUGCCUCUAAGCCAACUAUUAGAUGUAUUGCAGAAAUAGAUUUUGCAGGAACAUCUGGAAGAGCUUAUACCAUCUAAACAGAGGUGAGGACCUGUGAAGACCCUUAGAUAGCCUGUGGCUUUCAAUCCAGUUGCAAUAAGCAGAGACUAUGCUGCACAUUCUGGUAUGAAGUGGACACUCAAGGAGUUCCUGAUGGCCUUGAACACUGCUGUGUUCACAGCAGUGUUAUGGCACAACCAUAACAUAUUUUAUGCUGUUUCCUUCUCCUGGUCUCUUGCCCUGGGAAGGGAAAGUAUCACCAUUUCUUCUGUUCCAAGUUUUUGCCUUCUUGCCUGAUCAGUCCAAGGUACAGGAAGGCCUCUCCCUCAGGUCAUGAUACUACAGACUGAAAAUCUCUCUAAAGGUUUCACUUAAUGAUUGAUUUAGUAACAUCCUCUAUCCCAGUGAUUCUGAACCUCUGUAGGUUAUCAUCCAAACUCCCUUCCUCAUUCCCCAAACCUACUACCUGAUUCCUUAUUCCCAUAGCCCUCAACCCAUUUACCCCAAAGUCCCAACCAAAUACUACCCACUUUAAUCAAUGUGACCUCUGGAAUGUCUUCUCCACAGGCAACAAACUUGUCUUCGAUCUGAAAUCUUUUCCUUCCCCACUCCUUUCAUCUUCUGGUUCUCAUUGAAACCUGACUCCCUUCCGAUGACACAACCUCCUUCACCACAUUUUCCAGCACUGAAUGCACUUUCACUCGUUCCACUUGACUUUAUGAUAAAGGUAGGGGGAUUAAAAACUCCUUGCUCCCCAAGAACACUUCCAUGUUCUUGCCCUAUACCAUCACUUAGUAACUUCUCCUUCUUUGAAGUACAUACAAUCCACAUCUGCCCUCCCAAUCCCUCCAAUCAAAAUCCUGGUAUCUGUUAUCUACAGAUUUCCAGGAUACUCUUCUUCCUUCCUCAAUUCAUUUAGUAUCUGGCUCAUAAUCUUUCUCUCCUCUUCAACUCCUUCUCUCAUACUAGGGGAUUUCAACAUAAUUAUUGAUACUCCCUCAAACACCCUAACUUUCCAGUUCCUCAACCUACUCAUUUCUCAUGACUUACUCUUCCAUCCCACCUUAGUCACAUACAAAGAUGACCAUACUCUUGAUUUUGCCAUCACCUACAAUGCACAAUCUCCAUGUUCAAGGACUCUGAAAUGCCAUUAUUUGCUCACAAUCUAUUGGAUUUCUACUUUUCCUUUUGCCUUCCGAUACCAAAGCCUAUUCUGAGUCCAUACCAUGACCUCCAAUCCCUUGACCCCUUAUUUCUCUUUCAGGCUAUCACCUCUGUAGUAGCUACAUGCUCCUCUUUCCCCCAUGUUGAUCCCUUGGUGAACCAAUUCAAUUCUACAGUGCCAUCUUCUUUUGAGUUCCUUUCUCUCCAGAAUUGUGCUUUGCCAAGCCUCAGCCUUAGAUGUCUCCCACAAUCCCGUCUUUACUCCUACACACAUGCUACUGAACAAAAGCAGAGAAAGAAAAUCACACAGCUCUUCUGAUUGGGUCCACUAAAAUUUAUGUUAUACAAACUCAACUUGUCCCUCACUGCUGCUGGGAAAUCCUUUUAUACCUUCCUUAUCAACUCUCUAUACCACUUGCCAUAGCAGUUAUUCCAAACCUCCUCUGACUCCCUCUCUGCACCCAUUCAGCGAAGAACAGCCUCAUGUAUUAUAAGCUGCCUCAUAUUUUACUGAAAAAAUAGAUGUUCACCAGGAGGUCUCUCUCUUCUCACCUCCUCCUCAAAUCAUAUCAUUCCAAUGCCUUCUACAACUUUCUCCUUCACCUCUGAAGAACAAGAAAAGGUGACCCCCACCCUUUCUCAAGACAAAUUUCUCUACCGGCAAAAAUGAUCCCAUUCCAUCCUGUCUCUACCUGUGUACUGACUGGUUUCCUAUUGCCUACAAACAUGUCCAUGUGUUCUCCAUCCUCACAAAAAUUUCCUUAAAUUCUUCCAUCCCCAUUAUCAUCCCAUAUAUCUCUCUGUGUCUUGUGGCUAAACUCCUUGAGAAGGCAUCCACAAUAGGUGCCUCUAUAUCCUCUCCUCCUACUCUCUUCUUAACUCUCUCUCCUCAACAUUCAACAGAACCUCUUCUGUCCAAACUUAUCCAUGAUCUCUUAUUUGCUAAAUCCAGUGGCUUUUUCUCAACCCUCACCCUUCUUGACCUUUCUGCAGUCUUUGACACUGAUAAUUACCUUCUCCUUGAAACACUCUUUUCUGCUUCCAGGAGCCAAGAUGGCAGAGUGAAAAG